CCUACGGGAGGCAGCAGUGAGGAAUAUUGGUCAAUGGGCGCGAGCCUGAACCAGCCAAGUAGCGUGAAGGAUGACUGCCCUACGGGUUGUAAACUUCUUUUAUAAAGGAAUAAAGUGAGGCACGCGUGCCUUUUCGUAAGUACUCUAUGAAUAAGGAUCGGCUAACUCCGUGCCAGCAGCCGCGGUAAUACGGAGGAUCCGAGCGUUAUCCGGAUUUAUUGGGUUUAAAGGGAGCGUAGAUGGGAUGUGAAGUCAGUUGUGAAAGUUUGCGGCUCAACCGUAUAAUUGCAAUUGAUACUGGCAGUCUUGAGUACAGUUGAAGUAGGCGGAAUUCGUGGUGUAGCGGUGAAAUGCAUAGAUAUCACGAAGAACUCCGAUUGCGAAGGCAGCUUACUAACCUGCCACUGACAUUGAUGCUCGAAAGUGUGGGUAUCGAACAGGAUUAGAUACCCGAGUAGUC
rnacentral:rRNA from 1 species